GUGCUUGCUUUGGCAGCACAUAUACUAAAAUUAUAAUGAUACAGAGAUUAGCAUGGCCCCUGCACAAGGAUGACGCGCAAAUUCGUGAAGUGUUCCAUAUUUAA